AGUGCACAGUUUUCUGCUAUCCAUCUCACUAGAGCUGGGGACUGUGGCAUCCCAAUCACAGUGUUUGACUACCUGAGAGCUGUCUAGAUUGAGCUGAAGGAAUUCAGAAAAGGGCAGUAUGAAUUCUUCAGCGUGGAGGCCGACUUUGUGGAGAGGAGGCAGGGCCUAUGUCGAUGCUGCUCGCUCUAUUUUCAGGGCUUGGCACCAUUCAUCCUCAAAAAGGCUACGGGUCCUCACUCAGAAUUAAAGCCAUUUGUAAGAGAGGAUCAUGGAAUGAAUACGGGCAUUGAGUCAAGCAGUCUGUGUUCCACUGGCGGUGUGACCUGGGGCAGGCCAUUUCACCUCACUGAGCCUUAGUUUCCUCACCUGUAAAAUGUGAAAAAUAUCACCUUCCUUACCAGGCUUUUCUGAGGAUUUAAUGACAUCAUGUUCAGUGCCCAGUAUGGGUGGAUAAUACCCAGGAGUUUCCUCCUCUUCUCCUCCUAAGUUGACUUGAUGCCCCCCGCUGAAGAUCAUGGCUGAACUGGCUCAAUUCGGAUCCAGGACUCCUGGCUUUGUCUCUUCCCUAGUUGCCCACCACACCCAUGGACACCCUUAGGUAGUUUAUCCUUUUGGGACAACUGGAUUUAUUAGAAAAGGGUAUUCUGGGGUGGAAUAAGGCCCUUUUCAGUCCCCAUGGAGCCUUUUUGGAAGAUGAAGUUCUCAAACCCACAAGAGAAUUCAUAAGACGAGCACACCACCCACAGUUAGGUUUCCCUCUCAAGUGCUUUAUCUCCACGUGGGGCAAAUAGCUCUUUGUCUGCAUAUGUUAUUGGAGCUUUUGGAGUCCAGCCUUCAGAAGAGCUCUAAUUUUUGGAUUCAUAUC
ensembl:lncRNA FLJ42969 uncharacterized LOC441374